UACGUAGGGUGCAAGCGUUGUUCGGAAUCACUGGGCGUAAAGGGCGUGUAGGCGGUCCGCUAAGUCUGAUGUGAAAGCCCGAGGCUUACCCUCGGAAGUGCAUUGGAGACUGGCGGACUGGAGUCCCGGAGAGGAGGGUGGAAUUCCUGGUGUAGCGGUGAAAUGCGUAGAUAUCAGGAGGAACACCGGUGGCGAAGGCGGCCCUCUGGACGGUGACUGACGCUGAGACGCGAAAGCGUGGGGAGCAAACAGG
rnacentral:rRNA from 1 species